rnacentral:rRNA from 1 species
AAGGGAUGUGUUUAUUAGAUAAAAACCAAUGCCCUUCGGGGCUCUUUGGUGAUUCAUGAUAACUUUACGGAUCGCAUAGCCUUGCGCUGGCGACGGUUCAUUCAAAUUUCUGCCCUAUCAACUUUCGAUGGUAAGGUAUUGGCUUACCAUGGUUUCAACGGGUAACGGGGAAUUAGGGUUCGAUUCCGGAGAGGGAGCCUGAGAAACGGCUACCACAUCCAAGGAAGGCAGCAGGCGCGCAAAUUACCCAAUCCCGACACGGGGAGGUAGUGACAAUAAAUACUGAUACAGGGCUCUUUUGGGUCUUGUAAUUGGAAUGAGUACAAUUUAAACCUCUUAACGAGGAACAAUUGGAGGGCAAGUCUGGUGCCAGCAGCCGCGGUAAUUCCAGCUCCAAUAGCGUAUAUUAAAGUUGUUGCAGUUAAAAAGCUCGUAGUUGAAACUUGGGCCUGGCUGGCGGGUCCGCCUCACCGCGUGCACUCGUCCGGCCGGGCCUUCCUUCUGAAGAACCUCAUGCCCUUCACUGGGCGUGUUGGGGAAUCAGGACUUUUACUUUGAAAAAAUUAGAGUGUUCAAAGCAGGCCUUUGCUCGAAUACGUUAGCAUGGAAUAAUAAAAUAGGGCGUGCGUUUCUAUUUUGUUGGUUUCUAGAGACGCCGCAAUGAUUAACAGGAACAGUCGGGGGCAUCAGUAUUCAGUUGUCAGAGGUGAAAUUCUUGGAUUUACUGAAGACUAACUACUGCGAAAGCAUUUGCCAAGGAUGUUUUCAUUAAUCAGUGAACGAAAGUUAGGGGAUCGAAGACGAUCAGAUACCGUCGUAGUCUUAACCGUAAACUAUGCCGACUAGGGAUCGGGCGAUGUUCUUUUUCUGACUCGCUCGGCACCUUACGAGAAAUCAAAGUU